UGCAGUGUGGCUCAGUGGUUCAAACACUGGACUACUAGUCUGGAGACCAGGGUUUGAUUCCUGGCUCUGCCA